rnacentral:rRNA from 1 species
CUGGCUCAGGACGAACGCUGGCGGCGUGCUUCAUACAUGCAAGUCGAACGAGAAGCUGACUUCGGUCAGUGGAAAGUGGCGGACGGGUGAGUAAUAUGUAGAGAAUCUGCCCUUGAGUGGGGGACAACAGAGGGAAACUUCUGCUAAUACCCCAUAUGAGCUAACUUGAAAUAGUUAUCUUGAAAACUCCGGUGCUCAAGGAUGAGUCUGCAUCUGAUUAGCUAGUUGGCGGUGUAAUGGACCACCAAGGCGACGAUCAGUAGCUGGUUUGAGAGGAUGAUCAGCCACAAGUGGGACUGAGACACGGCCCAUACUCCGUACGGGAGGCAGCAGGUAAGGGUAAUUUUGCGCAAGUGGGACGAAAGCCCUGACGCAGCAACGCCGCGUGAACGAUUAACGCCCUUCGGGGUGUAAAGUUCUGUCAGUAGGGACGAAUUUUGACGGUACCUACAGAGGAAGCACCGGCUAACUCCGUGCCAGCCGCAGC